GAACGCUGGCGGCGUGCCUAAUACAUGCAAGUCGAACGGCUUUUCUAUGGAAGCUUGCUUCCACUGGGAAGAUAGUGGCGGACGGGUGAGUAACACGUGGGUAACCUGCCCAUAAGAGGGGGGAUAACAUCCGGAAACGGGUGCUAAUACCGCAUAGUUUUCUUGAUCGCAUGGUCGAGAAAGGAAAGACGGCCUUUGUGCUGUCGCUUAUGGAUGGACCCGCGGCGUAUUAGUUAGUUGGUGAGGUAACGGCUCACCAAGACGAUGAUACGUAGCCGACCUGAGAGGGUGAUCGGCCACAUUGGGACUGAGACACGGCCCAAACUCCUACGGGAGGCAGCAGUAGGGAAUCUUCCGCAAUGGACGAAAGUCUGACGGAGCAACGCCGCGUGAGUGAAGAAAGGCUUUCGGAUCGUAAAACUCUGUUGUCAGAGAAGAACAAGUCGGAGAGUAACUGCUCCGGCCUUGACGGUAUCUGACCAGAAAGCCACGGCUAACUACGUGCCAGCCGCCGC
rnacentral:rRNA from 1 species